rnacentral:rRNA from 1 species
UACGUAGGGAGCAAGCGUUGUCCGGAAUCAUUGGGCGUAAAGCGCGCGUAGGCGGCCCGAUAAGUCUGCUGUGAAAGUCCAGGGCUCAACCCUGGAAUGCCGGUGGAUACUGUCGGGCUAGAGUUCGGAAGAGGCAAGUGGAAUUCCUGGUGUAGCGGUGAAAUGCGCAGAUAUCAGGAGGAACACCGGUGGCGAAGGCGGAUCUCUGGGCCUGUUCUGACGCUGAGGCGCGAAAGCUAGGGGAGCGAACAGG